rnacentral:tRNA from 1 species
UAGCCUAGUGGUUAAGGCUAUGGAUCGCCAAUCCAGAGGCGGGUUCGAUUCCCGU